GAUGAACGCUGGCGGCGUGCCUAAUACAUGCAAGUCGAACGCAUUGUGGUUGAAAUGAUAUGAAGAACUUGUUCAGAUUUGAUUUUCAACAUUGCAAUGAGUGGCGAACGGGUGAGUAACACGUGGGAAACCUACCUCUUAGCAGGGGAUAACAUUUGGAACCAAAUGCUAAUACCGUAUAAUAAUUAAAACCGCAUGGUUUUAGUUUAAAAGAUGGUCUUGCUAUCACUAAGAGAUGGUCCCGCGGUGUAUUAGUUAGUUGGUGAGGUAAUGGCUCACCAAGACAAUGAUACAUAGCCGAGUUGAGAGACUGACCGGCCACAAUGGGACUGAGACACGGCCCAUACUCCUACGGGAGGCAGCAGUAGGGAAUCUUCCACAAUGGACGAAAGUCUGAUGGAGCAACGCCGUCGUGUGUGAUGAAGGUUUCGGCUCGUAAAACACUGUUGUAAGAGAAGAAUGACAUUGAGAGUAACUGUUCAAUGUAGUGACGGUAUCUUAACC
rnacentral:rRNA from 1 species